UUGGCCUUGACAUACUAAGAACUUUCCAGAGAUGGAUUGGUGCCUUCGGGAACUUAGAUACAGGUGCUGCAUGGCUGUCGUCAGCUCGUGUCGUGAGAUGUUGGGUUAAGUCCGCAACGAGCGCAACCCUUUUCCUUAUUUGCCAGCGGGUAAUGCCGGGAACUUUAAGGAUACUGCCAGUGACAAACUGGAGGAAGGCGGGGACGACGUCAAGUCAUCAUGGCCCUUACGGCCAGGGCUACACACGUGCUACAAUGGUCGGUACAAAGGGUUGCUACCUCGCGAGAGGAUGCUAAUCUCAAAAAGCCGAUCGUAGUCCGGAUCGCAGUCUGCAACUCGACUGCGUGAAGUCGGAAUCGCUAGUAAUCGCGGAUCAGAAUGCCGCGGUGAAUACGUUCCCGGGCCUUGUACACACCGCCCGUCACACCAUGGGAGUUUGUUGCACCAGAAGUAGGUAGUCUAACCGCAAGGAGGACGCUUACCACGGUGUGGCCGAUGACUGGGGUGAAGUCGUAACAAGGUAAGCGUAGAUGA
rnacentral:rRNA from 1 species